rnacentral:lncRNA from 1 species
AGAGAGAGCAACAAUGCAUGCAUGCAUGUGUGCUUGCUUGGUCACUUGCUUCCUUGAGCCCAGCUGGAUUUCCCUACUCUUAGACAGUUCAGGUCCUCUUACCUAGGGAAUGGUGCCGCCCACUCUGAACUGUGUCUUACCAUAUCAUUUAACCAGGUGAUUCUAUUUUACGUCACAUUGACAAAGCUGACCACCACAAAGGAUGAGGUUGUUUAAGCCUCCCUCUUUGUCAUUAGUCUGAAGAUCUAGUCUAAAGGAGGAUUUUGAUAAGUCUACAUGGCUGACAGCAUGCAUUUGAGAGGCCUGGACAUUAAGGGAUAUAGUUUCUUGCUCUCCACUAGAAUUUUAGACAUUAGUAGAUGAUUUGCAGACCAAUUCCACAGGAAAGCUCUGUUGGCUACUGACUAAGCGCACACAUUCUAGAAGACCCUUUUAUGAUUCCCUAGAGGGGAUAUAGGUUUCUCUUAGUGGCCAUGCCUUUUAUACUGGGUCUUGUGUAAGAUCUCCUGGAGCAUAUUUUACAACAAUAGUAAUUCUACCUUUUCAAUUCAUGUUCUGCCUUUCUCACAUAUAUGGAGAAUGUGGGAAAGAAUCUUUUAUAUACAGGAAAGGAAUUUGAACUCUCUUUUUGUUCUCUAUAAGUGGGGUUUUUUUUGUUUUUUUUUUUGUUUUUGUUUUUUUGCUUUAAUAACCAUAGCUUGCUUGGUGCAAAAUAUAGGUCUUUACUUGUGUUAUGUCAUUUGGUUUCAGUAUAACCUUGCCAGGAAAAAUAUAUCAUUAUGUUUCUCUAUUAGAUGAUGAAACAGAGACAAAGAAAUUGAACUAACUUUCCCAACAAUACAGAGAGAAACACUUAUCAAAGAAAGAAUUGGAAUAUACAACUCAGGACCUUAAACUUGUACCUGUGUGAUUUUUUUUUUUCAGUUCUUGUUAGAUAGAAACUUCUGGAUCCUCAAAUUCCACUAGCACCGUAAUUCAAUUCUUUUGUUCCAGAGAUCAUUAAGAUUCCUACCAUGUUGCAAAGACAAGGAUGCUGGUGUUCGCUUUCAUCCUGGAACCAGGGUGCAUCUAGAUUUUUCUCAAAAUUCUGUCCCCGAGUGACUGGGUGUCCUUGGGAGAGCAACUGGCCAGUGUUUGGCCCACAUUUAAGAUCCUGACCUUUAUCCACAUCCUGGUGGACUUAGCCAGCUCACCUCCCUGUCAUUUCCCCCGCCACCGGCCUCUCACAGAAAGCACCCAAAUAUUUAGAAGGAUAUGAUUUAAUUGGUCUGGAAUGUGGCCCAACUGUCAGCUCUGAAAAGCCCUGCAGAGACUUCUGAUGUGCAGUGCGAAGACUCAGUAGCUCUUGCAAGCAAGCAAUGCAAAGCCUGAAUACCAGGGUCGCAGCUGCAGCACUCCUCAUUCUGAACUGGCAUUUUCAAAAUGGCUACCAGAGGUCCAUGGUGGCAUAUGCAUAGUUUUCCUCUUUCCAUGGAAAAGAGCUAAAAAUUGAAUCUUAUGAUUGCAUUGGUAUAAAACAAAUACAUUAACACUGCCUAUUAGAAUAUUUGCCUCAACACCACACCUCAGAGUUUCUCCUCUUGUGGUUUUGAAAACAUUAAAAUACUUUCGCAAGCUCCCAAGAUUGGGUCCCUUGGUUCUGUGCCAGGCUCAAUCAAAGGAGAAGGCAGUCACAAUUUCCACACUAACCUCUCAGCAGCCAGGUGCUCCUUUCCAGAGUGUUCUGUGGACACAAGAGAACAGUCCAGAGAACAGUCCUAAGAUGAUGUCCCGUUCUUGCUCCUAACCUUGCCAUAAGUCUGUCACUUAGUGGAUUUAUGAUAGGGGACAUGGGGCACAAGUGUCACAGCUUCCCUGUGGGGUCUACACUGUAGGCACAGGACCCUGUGGGGUCUACACCGUAGGCACAGGACCCUGUGGGGUCUCCACUGUAGGCCCAGGACCCUGUGGGGUCUCCACUGUAGGCCCAGGACCCUGUGGGGUCUACACCGUAGGCACAGGAACUUCAGCCUGACUCUUGACUCAUUUCCCCUCUCAAUAGAAUUUGGGGACCCUGACUCCCAGCAUCUUUUUUUGUUCAUUUUAGAUGCUUCUGUACCAGCAAAAGUCAUCAGGUCGAAACCUUUCUCCAUCUGUGCUUGGUAAUGUCUUAGAGGUUCUAUUGCUGUGAUAAAACACCAGGACUAAUAGCAACUUGGGGAGGAAAGGGUUUAUUUUGGCUUACAGUUCUCAGGUCACACUCUACCACCGAGGGGAGUCAGGAGAGAAACUCAAAAGGCAGAAACCUGGAGGCAGAAACGGAUGCAGAGACUAGGGAGGAAAGCUGCUGACCAGCUUGCUCUCCACAGCUUGAUUGCUCAGCCUGCUCUCUUAGACCACUCAAGACCACAACCCCAAGGCUGCACCACUGAUGAUGGGGGUCAGCCCUCCCAUAUCAAUCAUCAAUAAAGGCAAUCAUGAGGGAAAUUUUAAAAUUUAGGUCCCACUUCCCUCAGGUAACCCUAGCUUGUGUCAAGUUGACAUGAAACAGCCAGCACGGCUAGCUCUCGGCCUCUGAUGCUGCUGUGUGCAUUGCUCCCGCACCUCUGACCCGCUGUGGGGAUGAUGGCAAGGACACCAUUCACUGUACCUCUGCAUAUACUCAGCUCUGUGCAAGGAAGGAAGGAAUUGUCUUCAGACCCAAGCUCCAGGAAGAGCAUGCUUUUCUGCUUGAAAACCACAUCUGUUUCCCUAUAGACAAUACCAAUGUUAUUAGAUUUUGUGUAUUCCUGGAAGUAUUGGCUUCUAGAAAAGAGAUGAGGAGAGAGGGAGGGAAGAGAGAGAAGAAAGGUGAAAAGUAGGUGAAGAAGGGAGAGGGAGAAGAAAAGGAAGGCAAAAUAAUGUAUUGAGAAUAUAUACUAUAUACACACACUCAUAUGAAAACACACAGACAUAGGUGUAGGCUACGUAGUGUCUAAUCAUUUAUAACCAUCUGUGUUGAGGUAUGUGUAUGGGCCAUACAAUUCACUUGCUUAUGUUAUAUAAUCUUGAAUAGUCUCUCAAGUUCUUUGGGAAAUAUGGGUUGAGUGAAGUCAUCUACAUACUUCAAGCAAUUCCAAGUUCUGAGCACUUGAAGCCCUGAGCAGGUGACCUAGAUCUAGGGCAUUGUAGCUGCUUUUCCUCGCUCAGAUCCGUUACCUCAAUUAGUGAACAAAUAUUGGUUCACUGUUGACUGUGUGCUGGGUGUUAGGAGUCUGAGCGACAGCAAACUGUCUGACCUCACAGAAAGAAAAGAUGCGGCAGGCAAUCAGUUCAGUGCCUGCUGCGAAAAGCUCCACUGAAGGGAAUGGGGAGAGAGCUCCGUGGGUAGAGUGGUGCCUGCUGUACAAGCCUGAGGACCUGAGUUCUAGUCCCUGGAACCUACUCAAAAGCCAGGCAUAGCAGCAUGCACCUACAGUCUCAGCAGAUCCCUAGAGGUAGGAAUCUAAAGCACCGUGGCCUGUAAACCUAACCAAAACUGUGGUGAUCUCUGUGUUUGAGCCGCCAUGAGCUUUCCAGGCAUCAUUUGGCUGUGUGGAGUGUCUGGUGAGCCGGGAGCUCAGGGGUAAGGAGACUGGGAGCAGAGCUGGUGAAAAGCAACCACAGGAGCCUGGUUCAAGGGCUAGUUAUCCCCCAAGCUUUUCUCAGGAAACAUGACAGACGUUUAAAACCCCACCCAUUGCCCUUCCUUUCACCAUCCUAACAACAACCACCACCACCACCACCACC